UGUCGUAACAGUAAGUGUUUUGUUUUUAUUAUUAUUAUUAUUAUUAUUAUUAUUAUUAUUAUUAUUAUUAUUAUUAUUACACAUAGUUAAGAAUGUUUUUAUUUAUAAACGAAUUUAUGGGUUUAUUGUGGUGAAUAAAACAGGUAUCUAACGCUACAGGUGAUGAUGAUAUUGUGUCUAUCCCGGACAUCGUAGACGAAAUCAGGUUUCUGAACAAGGCAAGCGGGUCGAACACAGAAGUCCCGCGAGUCAGGUUUGAAAACCCCGUGCUGGGCUUGUCAAAUCUUGUAGACAAGAUCGCUGCACCCGAGUUCAAAAAUAGUGCUGUGGUCUCCACUGAACGCGGUAUACCAACG